GGCGAGAUAGUCAAGUGGUCUACGACGUUACGUUUAGGCCGUAAUCCCGCAAGGGGCGUGGGUUCGAACCCCACUCUCGUCA